rnacentral:lncRNA from 1 species
GGAACAAACUUCCUAAGUUAUAUUCAUAUGCUUUGGCCAAAGACUCCCGAAUCAUAUCUUAGAGUAUUCUCCUUCCAUCAUGGAAGGUUAGAGAUCCCUUGUUGUGCAUUCAUAUCCCUACAUGACUAGAUAUCUUGACCCCAACAAUGCCGUGGACACUCUUGAUGUUGGAAAUAUGCCCUGAAAGUCAAUCUUUGGAAGAAAUCUUUCAGGACAAAUGAAUCGAUGUAUGGAUGAAUCUUAUACAUCAAAUGGCAAAGACACGAAUUAGGACUAUCUCAAUCAACGA